rnacentral:rRNA from 1 species
UACGUAGGCAGCAAGCGUUGUUCGGAAUUACUGGGCGUAAAGCGCGUGUAGGCGGGCGUGCAAGUCCGUUGGGAAAGCCCGCGGCUCAACCGCGGAAGUUCGCUGGAAACUGUGCUUCUUGAGGGUGGUAGAGGGAAGUGGAAUUGCUGGUGUAGCGGUGAAAUGCGUAGAUAUCAGCAGGAACACCCGUGGCGAAGGCGGCUUCCUGGAUCGCCACUGACGCUGAGACGCGAAAGCGUGGGGAGCGAACGGG